rnacentral:rRNA from 1 species
UACGGAGGGUGCAAGCGUUAUCCGGAUUCACUGGGUUUAAAGGGUGCGUAGGCGGGCAGGUAAGUCCGGGGUGAAAUCUCUGAGCUUAACUCAGAAACUGCCAUGGAUACUAUUUGUCUUGAAUAUUGUGGAGGUGAGCGGAAUAUGUCAUGUAGCGGUGAAAUGCUUAGAUAUGACAUAGAACACCAAUUGCGAAGGCAGCUCACUACACAAUCAUUGACUCUGAGGCACGAAAGCGUGGGGAUCAAACAGG